rnacentral:rRNA from 1 species
UACGUAGGGUGCAAGCGUUGUCCGGAUUUAUUGGGCGUAAAGAGCUCGUAGGCGGUUUGUCGCGUCUGCUGUGAAAUCUCGGGGCUUAACCCCGGGCCUGCAGUGGGUACGGGCAGACUAGAGUGCGGUAGGGGAGACUGGAAUUCCUGGUGUAGCGGUGAAAUGCGCAGAUAUCAGGAGGAACACCGGUGGCGAAGGCGGGUCUCUGGGCCGUAACUGACGCUGAGGAGCGAAAGCGUGGGGAGCGAACAGG